rnacentral:rRNA from 1 species
GCUAUACAUGCAAGUCGAACGCACAGCGAAAGGUGCUUGCACCUUUCAAGUGAGUGGCGAACGGGUGAGUAACACGUGGAUAACCUACCUCAAGGUUGGGGAUAACAUUUGGAAACAGAUGCUAAUACCGAAUAAAACUUCGUAUCGCAUGAUACAAGGUUAAAAGGCGCUACGGCGUCACCUAGAGAUGGAUCCGCGGUGCAUUAGUUAGUUGGUGGGGUAAAGGCCUACCAAGACAAUGAUGCAUAGCCGAGUUGAGAGACUGAUCGGCCACAUUGGGACUGAGACACGGCCCAAACUCCUACGGGAGGCUGCAGUAGGGAAUCUUCCACAAUGGGCGAAAGCCUGAUGGAGCAACGCCGCGUGUGUGAUGAAGGCUUUCGGGUCGUAAAGCACUGUUGUAUGGGAAGAACAGCUAGAGUAGGGAAUGACUUUAGUUUGACGGUACCAUACCAGAAAGGGACGGCUAAAUACGUGCCAGCAGCCGCGGUAAUACGUAUGUCCCGAGCGUUAUCCGGAUUUAUUGGGCGUAAAGCGAGCGCAGACGGUUGAUUAAGUCUGAUGUGAAAGCCCGGAGCUCAACUCCGGAAAGGCAUUGGAAACUGGUCAACUUGAGUGCAGUAGAGGUAAGUGGAACUCCAUGUGUAGCGGUGGAAUGCGUAGAUAUAUGGAAGACACCAGCGGCGAAGGCGGCUUACUGGACUGUAACUGACGUUGAGGCUCGAAAGUGUGGGUAGCAAACAGGAUUAGAUACCCUGGUAGUCCACACCGUAAACGAUGAACACUA